rnacentral:tRNA from 1 species
GCCGAAGUGGCGGAAUUGGCAGACGCGCUGGAUUCAAAAUCCAGUGAAGGCAACUUCUUGAGGGUUCAACUCCCUCCUUCGGCA